rnacentral:rRNA from 1 species
AUGGAGGAGGGCGCUGCCGGAGGAGGAGGAGGGGGUGGGGGCGGCGGCGUCACCAUCGCCGGCGAUCGAUCGAGCUUCGUGAUCGGCCUCAUCGAGAACCGAGCCAAGGAGGUUGGUGUUGCGGCAUUUGAUUUGAGAUCAGCCUCACUGCACCUAUCUCAGUAUAUCGAGACAAGCUGUUCAUACCAGAAUACAAAGACACUACUGCAUUUCUAUGAUCCGAAUACUGUAAUUGUGCCCCCAAAUAAAACAGCGGCAGAUGGUAUGGUUGGAGUUUCAGAGCUGGUUGAUAAAAAUUACCAAGCAAGCAAAAAGGUCACAAUGGCACGUGGUUGCUUUGAUGAUACCAAGGGGGCGGUUAUGGUAAAAAAUCUGUCGGCUAGAGACCCAUCUGCACUUGGUUUGGAUACUUACUGCAAGCAGUACUAUCUUUGUCUUGCUGCGGCCUCUGCAACAAUUAAGUGGAUAGAAUCAGAAAAAGGUGUAAUUAUUACUAACCAUUCACUAUCAGUUACAUUCAAUGGCUCAUUUGACCAUAUGAACAUCGAUUCAACUAGUGUUCAAACAUUAGAAAUAAUUGACCCUCUCCAUACUGAACUGUGGGGUACUAGCAACAAAAAGAAAAGUCUCUUUCAGAUGUUGAAGACUACAAAGACUACGGGAGGGUCUAGACUACUGAGAGCCAACUUAUUACAACCAUUAAAAGAUAUUCAAACUAUCAAUACUCGGCUUGACUGCUUGGAUGAGCUAGUGAGCAACGAGGAACUAUUCUUUGGCUUGACACAAGGUCUCCGUAAAUUUCCAAAAGAAUCAGAUAAGGUUCUCUGUCACUUUUGCUUCAAACCCAAAAAGGUCACAGAUGAGGUACUGAAGCCUGCCAAUGGUCGAAAGAGCCAAUUGUUGAUAUCUGACAUUAUUGUUCUAAAAACUGCUCUGGAUGCAAUACCAUUCCUCUCCAAGGUUCUGAAGGGGGCGAACAGUUUUCUUCUUAAGAACAUUUAUCAGACCAUAUGUGAAAACCCAAAGUAUGAGAGCAUGAGAAAGAGAAUCGGAGAAGUGAUUGAUGAAGAUGUUAUUCAUUCGAGGGCUCCUUUUGUAGCCUGCACUCAGCAAUGUUUCGCUAUUAAGCCAGGGAUUGAUGGCCUACUUGAUGUUGCUCGUCGAUCCUUCUGCGAUACAAGCGAAGCCAUACAUAACCUUGCCACCAAGUACAGAGAGGAGUUUACUCUGCCAAAUUUGAAGAUACCGUAUAACAAUAGACUGGGGUUUUACUUUAUUAUACCCCUGAGGGAUAUUACUGAAAAGCUUCCUAAUAAAUUUAUCCAGGUUGUUAGGCAUGGGAAGAAUGUCCAUUGCUCAAGCUUUGAGCUAGCUUCGCUAAAUGUUAGGAACAAGUCGGCUGCUGCUGAGUGCUUCUUGCGCACUGAACUCUGUUUAGAAGCGGGGACAAAUCCAACAUUCUCUUUGCUGGAAGAAGCUGAUCGCAUAUUUUCUGUUCUGAUCAUCCAAGUCAUGGAACCUGAAUUUAUUGUGAGGACAACACUGUUGCUAAGUUGCUGUGCAAUUCUAUUAUUAAAAAAAAAACCAUUCAAUUUACCUUCAAGCCUUAACCAAUGGGGUAACAGUGGCUCAGGAGUAAUUGUUAGGUGCCUGAUUAUGCUUUUUAUGUUUCCUUUUCAAUAG